GACGAACGCUGGCGGCGCGCUUAACACAUGCCAGUCGAACGGAAAGGCCUGCUUUCCCUUGUGGAUUGCGGGUACUCGAGUGGCGAACGGGUGAGUAACACGUGAGUGAUCUGCCCCCAACUUGGGUAUAAGCCUGGGAAACUGGGUCUAAUUCCCGAUAGGACUGCAGGGUGGUGCCUGUGGUGGAAAACGAUUUUCUAGUGGUUGGGGAUGAGCUCGCGGCCUAUCAGCUUGUUGGUGGGGUAAUGGCCUACCAAGGCGGCGACGGGUAGCCGGCCUGGGAGGGUGGACGGCAACAGUGGGACUGAGAUACGGCCCAGACUCCUACGGGAGGCAGCAGUGGGGAAUAUGGCACAAUGGGCGGAAGCCUGAUGCAGCGACGCCGCGUGGGGGAUGACGGCCUUCGGGUGGUAAACUCCUUUCGACCGCGAGGAAGCCACCUGGUUGGAAGGGUGGUGACGGUAGUGGUAGAAGAAGCACCGGCUAACUACGUG
rnacentral:rRNA from 1 species